rnacentral:rRNA from 1 species
GCAAAACGCGAAGAACCUUACCAGGCCUUGACAUGCAGAGAACUUUCCAGAGAUGGAUUGGUGCCUUCGGGAACUCUGACACAGGUGCUGCAUGGCUGUCGUUAGCUCGUGUCGUGAGAUGUUGGGUUAAGUCCCGUAACGAGCGCAACCCUUGUCCUUAGUUACCAGCACGUCAUGGUGGGCACUCUAAGGAGACUGCCGGUGACAAACCGGAGGAAGGUGGGGAUGACGUCAAGUCAUCAUGGCCCUUACGGCCUGGGCUACACACGUGCUACAAUGGUCGGUACAGAGGGUUGCCAAGCCGCGAGGUGGAGCUAAUCUCACAAAACCGAUCGUAGUCCGGAUCGCAGUCUGCAACUCGACUGCGUGAAGUCGGAAUCGCUAGUAAUCGCGAAUCAGAAUGUCGCGGUGAAUACGUUCCCGGGUCUUGUACACACCG